rnacentral:lncRNA from 1 species
GGUGGAGGUGGAGCACCCAUUGGUGGAGGCGGUGGUCCCCGAGAUCUAAAUGGAGGAGGAGGUGGUGGCGGAGGACAACUAGAUCCAAAUGGAGGAGGAGGUGGUGGCGGAGGACCACUAGAUCCAGAUGGAGGAGGUGGUGGUGGUGGCAGAGGUGAAGUUUUACCAAAAGGAGGUGGUGGUGGUGGCGGAGGACCACUAGAUCCAGAUGGAGGAGGUGGUGGUGGUGGUGGCAGAGGUGAAGUUUUACCAAAAGGAGGGGGUGGUGGAGGAGGAGUUCCAUAACUCGGUGGUUGAGGAGGAGGUGGGGUUGAAGAUCCAUAACUCGGUGGCGGAGGUGGAGGGACAGGCACUGAAUGUGCUUUACUAAAAGGAGGUAGAGGAGC